rnacentral:rRNA from 1 species
ACGGGUGAGUAACGUCUGGGGAUCUGCCCGAUAGAGGGGGAUAACCACUGGAAACGGUGGCUAAUACCGCAUAACGUCGCAAGACCAAAGAGGGGGACCUUCGGGCCUCUCACUAUCGGAUGAACCCAGAUGGGAUUAGCUAGUAGGCGGGGUAAUGGCCCACCUAGGCGACGAUCCCUAGCUGGUCUGAGAGGAUGACCAGCCACACUGGAACUGAGACACGGUCCAGACUCCUACGGGAGGCAGCAGUGGGGAAUAUUGCACAAUGGGCGCAAGCCUGAUGCAGCCAUGCCGCGUGUAUGAAGAAGGCCUUCGGGUUGUAAAGUACUUUCAGCGGGGAGGAAGGCGAUACGGUUAAUAACCGCGUCGAUUGACGUUACCCGCAGAAGAAGCACCGGCUAACUCCGUGCCAGCAGCCGCGGUAAUACGGAGGGUGCAAGCGUUAAUCGGAAUUACUGGGCGUAAAGCGCACGCAGGCGGUCUGUUAAGUCAGAUGUGAAAUCCCCGGGCUUAACCUGGGAACUGCAUUUGAAACUGGCAGGCUUGAGUCUUGUAGAGGGGGGUAGAAUUCCAGGUGUA